rnacentral:rRNA from 3 species
UGCGACCCCAGGAUGGGCGGGAU